UACAGGCUGCAUUGUACGUAAUAAUAUUAAGUUUUAACCUUUGAUCUGUAAUAGGGAGUUUAAGAUAGAGAGCGGACUGGUAUGCCUAGCGGAAUCGUUAGGACGAACAUGAAACUCUUUGCAAACACCCACUUUGAGGAGUGGUGGUUUAAAACUUUCAAUGUAAUGACUUACGGCAAAAGCGGCUUCUUA
rnacentral:other from 1 species